UACGUAGGGGGCAAGCGUUGUCCGGAUUGAUUGGGCGUAAAGAGCUCGUAGGCGGCUCGUUGCGUCGGCUGUGAAAACCCGCAGCUCAACUGUGGGCCUGCAGCCGAUACGGGCGGGCUGGAGUUCGGUAGGGGAGACUGGAAUUCCUGGUGUAGCGGUGAAAUGCGCAGAUAUCAGGAGGAACACCAAUGGCGAAGGCAGCUCGCUGGGACGUGACUGACGCUGAGACGCGAAAGCGUGGGGAGCAAACAGG
rnacentral:rRNA from 1 species